rnacentral:rRNA from 1 species
AUGAACGCUGGCGGCGUGCCUAAUACAUGCAAGUCGCGCGAACAGACGAGGAGCUUGCUCCUCUGGCGUUAGCGGCGGACGGGUGAGUAACACGUGGAUAACCUACCUAUAAGACUGGGAUAACUUCGGGAAACCGGAGCUAAUACCGGAUAAUAUAUUGAACCGCAUGGUUCAAUAGUGAAAGACGGUUUUGCUGUCACUUAUAGAUGGAUCCGCGCCGCAUUAGCUAGUUGGUAAGGUAACGGCUUACCAAGGCAACGAUGCGUAGCCGACCUGAGAGGGUGAUCGGCCACACUGGAACUGAGACACGGUCCAGACUCCUACGGGAGGCAGCAGUAGGGAAUCUUCCGCAAUGGGCGAAAGCCUGACGGAGCAACGCCGCGUGAGUGAUGAAGGUCUUCGGAUCGUAAAACUCUGUUAUUAGGGAAGAACAAAUGUGUAAGUAACUAUGCACGUCUUGACGGUACCUAAUCAGAAAGCCACGGCUAACUACGUG